CAUGCAAGUCGAGCGGUAACAGGAGAAGCUUGCUUCUCGCUGACGAGCGGCGGACGGGUGAGUAAUACUUAGGAAUCUACCUAGUAGUGGGGGAUAGCUCGGGGAAACUCGAAUUAAUACCGCAUACGACCUACGGGAGAAAGGGGGCAACUUGUUGCUCUCGCUAUUAGAUGAGCCUAAGUCGGAUUAGCUAGAUGGUGGGGUAAAGGCCUACCAUGGCGACGAUCUGUAGCUGGUCUGAGAGGAUGAUCAGCCACACCGGGACUGAGACACGGCCCGGACUCCUACGGGAGGCAGCAGUGGGGAAUAUUGGACAAUGGGGGCAACCCUGAUCCAGCCAUGCCGCGUGUGUGAAGAAGGCCUUUUGGUUGUAAAGCACUUUAAGCAGUGAAGAAGACUCCAUGGUUAAUACCCAUGGACGAUGACAUUAGCUGCAGAAUAAGCACCGGCUAACUCUGUGCCAGCAGCCGCGGUAAUACAGAGGGUGCAAGCGUUAAUCGGAAUUACUGGGCGUAAAGCGAGCGUAGGUGGCUUGAUAAGUCAGAUGUGAAAGCCCCGGGCUUAACCUGGGAACGGCAUCUGAUACUGUUAGGCUAGAGUAGGUGAGAGGAAGGUAGAAUUCCAGGUGUAGCGGUGAAAUGCGUAGAGAUCUGGAGGAAUACCGAUGGCGAAGGCAGCCUUCUGGCAUCAUACUGACACUGAGGUUCGAAAGCGUGGGUAGCAAACAGGAUUAGAUACCCUGGUAGUCCACGCCGUAAACGAUGUCUACUAGUCGUUGGGUCCCUUGAGGACUUAGUGACGCAGCUAACGCAAUAAGUAGACCGCCUGGGGAGUACGGCCGCAAGGUUAAAACUCAAAUGAAUUGACGGGGGCCCGCACAAGCGGUGGAGCAUGUG
rnacentral:rRNA from 1 species